UGGGGAAUUUUGGACAAUGGGCGAAAGCCUGAUCCAGCAAUGCCGCGUGUGUGAAGAAGGCCUUCGGGUUGUAAAGCACUUUUGUCCGGAAAGAAAUCCUUGGCUCUAAUACAGUCGGGGGAUGACGGUACCGGAAGAAUAAGCACCGGCUAACUACGUGCCAGCAGCCGCGGUAAUACGUAGGGUGCAAGCGUUAAUCGGAAUUACUGGGCGUAAAGCGUGCGCAGGCGGCUUGCUAAGACCGAUGUGAAAUCCCCGGGCUCAACCUGGGAACUGCAUUGGUGACUGGCAGGCUAGAGUAUGGCAGAGGGGGGUAGAAUUCCACGUGUAGCAGUGAAAUGCGUAGAGAUGUGGAGGAAUACCGAUGGCGAAGGCAGCCCCCUGGGCCAAUACUGACGCUCAUGCACGAAAGCGUGGGGAGCAAACAGGAUUAGAUACCCUGGCAGUCCACGCCCUAAACGAUGUCAACUAGUUGUUGGGGAUUCAUUUCCUUAGUAACGUAGCUAACGCGUGAAGUUGACCGCCUGGGGAGUACGGUCGCAAGAUU
rnacentral:rRNA from 1 species